rnacentral:lncRNA from 1 species
GUGAGGACUGCCCAAAGCUCCUGGCAGAGAGAGCCAGCACCAGGCGGGGAAGACCAGGGGCGCCAGGCAGGUGACCUUCCCAGCCUGCCCGGACCCAGUCACGGAAGAAGAUGUGAGUCCCGGCAAGACAGAGGCACGUGCGGCCCGACCAGGUGACGGUGGGAUGCGGCAGGACCAGCACAGGUUUCCAGGACUUUGAGUCUUUUUAAAUCAUUCGCCUUUGGCCUUGAUUUCCCACUCACCUCACAGGUCCCUGCUUCCCGGGGUGCGUGGACUCGGGCCACACACCUCUUGGGUCAGCUCCGCAGUGAUGGGAGGUGUGAAGUCCCAGAAGGGCUGAGCCGGGGGGCAUCAGAGGUGACCGAGCCCCAGCACCUCUCACCCCUGUGGGGUGGACCACCUGGCCACCUGGGCCUCAGUCGGGGAUGGCAGCACUGCCCAGAUGCUUCCUUCUGUCAUUGACACCAGGUGAGCCCUGGACCUGCUGGCCAGUCUGAGUCCCACCCACAGAACAGAUCCAGGGCACCCGAGGGACGCAGACAGCCACCUGUCUUGCAGCAGCCCUGGGCUCCCGACCGGGGCUCCCAGCCAUCACCUCCUCAGGAGCCCACCCACCCUCUCAACAACUGGGGACAUACCUCAGGAGGCCACAGCUGCUCUUGAAGGAAAGCCAGGACAGAGCAGCAGGCCCCUCAGCAGACAGGGCAUGGGGACCCCAGCAGGCAGAUGGGGCGUGGGGACCCCCCAGCAGGACACGGGCUCAGAAGAGAGGAAGCUCGUGUUCCACUUAGGGGGUCAGAAUUGCAGCCGCAGAGCACGGGUCUUCUGCCCCCAUCCUCGUGUCUCCAGCCUCCUGUCCCCGCCUACAGCCCCUCUUCUCCUGCUCGAGCUGGUUCCUGGCCCCUUGCACAUUCACAGGCAUGUGGACUUUCCCUUCUCCUAGUUGUCAUCAACAUUUCUCCUGUUGCUCUCUCCCAUGGCUGUGUUUGUCUCCUGGGCCACUCUGCCCUCUGGGUCUUGGGCACUACCUGUGAGCUCGUGUGGUCAGUGGAGGCUGGCCUGCCCUCCGGCUGCACUGGGCUCUCCUGGCUGCUCACGCCUUCUGAUCUUGGGCUCAUUGGCCUGCCUGUAACACCUGGUCCCUGCCCACUGGUGGCACCCAAAGCCAAGGUCUCUCUGCCCUCACAGGAAUGGUCCUGCCUGUGUGGCUCCAGGCCAUCUGCCGCAGUCAGGGCUGGUCCCUAGUGGGUGGAGGGUACUUGGCCUGUGUCCUCAGCUGGACAAGUGUCCACGUGUGGACCUGAACAUGUCCUGCUGGAGGCAGGAGGAGAAGCUGUCAGCCAGAAGGUCCAGGCUCUCCCCCUGCUGCCCUGACAGCUGCCCCAGCAUACGACGGAGAGGCGGCUUGCAACUGGACCCUAGCUGGGCUGCUCUAGAAGUCCAGUUGCUGUCAGUGCAGGUGAGAGGAGGCAGAGCAGGCAACUCCUGCUGGACACUGGGGUGCAGAGUGCUUGUGGGUGGACACAGAUCCAAAUCAGGGAAUCAGCAGGUGGCCCCCAAAGGGCUCUGCAUCAGAUGAGCCCGCACAGCCAUGCCCAGGUGGACACGACGCUGGAGGACGAGAACCCCAGCCCGAGGGCCACUGUGCUCCUCCCGUCCCCUGGGCUCUGGUGGGAUCGGUGGUGUGAGUCUGGCUGGUUCUGUGGGAGGCUGUGCCCAGGAACUGGGGAGCACCCAGAUGUCUGUGUGGUCAGCCAGGAGCCAUGGCAGGGACACACUCAACACCCUGCCGGCCCCAGAUGGCCCAGAAGCUUUCCCAGCCCCCUGGCCAGUUGUCCCAUGGAGGAAGCCUCCAUGACACCUACCCACUGCCGCAGCUCAGCAACGCCCAGGGCCAGUGUGCUAAACUCCAGGCACUGAUGGUGCAGCCAUGCUGGAGCCAGG